rnacentral:rRNA from 1 species
GACGAACGCUGGCGGCGUGCCUAACACAUGCAAGUCGAACGGAGAUACGAUUUCGGUUGUAUCUUAGUGGCGAACGGGUGAGUAACGCGUGAACAACCUGACUCUAAGAGGGGGAUAACACUCGGAAACGGGUGCUAAUACCGCAUAAGACCACGACCCGGCAUCGGGAUGAGGUCAAAGGAGCAAUCCGCUGAGAGAGGGGUUCGCGUCCCAUUAGAUAGAUGGCGGGGUAACGGCCCACCAUGUCAACGAUGGGUAGCCGAGCUGAGAGGCUGAUCGGCCACACUGGAACUGAGACACGGUCCAGACUCCUACGGGAGGCAGCAGUGGGGAAUAUUGGGCAAUGGGCGCAAGCCUGACCCAGCAACGCCGCGUGAGGGAAGAAGGCUUUCGGGUUGUAAACCUCUGUCCUUGGUGACGAAACAAAUGACGGUAGCCAAGGAGGAAGCCCCGGCUAACUACGUGCCAGCCGCCGCCGUAACAC